rnacentral:tRNA from 2 species
GGAGAGGUGGCCGAGCGGUUUAUGGCUCCAGUCUUGAAAACUGGCAUAGUUUUUGAUUACUAUCGAGGGUUCGAAUCCCUCUCUCUCCC